UACGAAGGGGGCGAGCGUUGUUCGGAUUUACUGGGCGUAAAGGGCGCGUAGGCGGCCCGUUUUGUCAGGCGUGAAAGCCCCGGGCUCAACCUGGGAAUGGCGAUGGAUACUGGCUAGCUAGAGUGUGUCAGAGGAUGGUGGAAUUCCCGGUGUAGCGGUGAAAUGCGUAGAGAUCGGGAGGAACAUCAGUGGCGAAGGCGGCCAUCUGGGACAACACUGACGCUGAAGCACGAAAGCGUGGGGAGCAAACAGG
rnacentral:rRNA from 1 species